UGAUUCUUUUCCCUGCCUGCCUCACAGUCCAUCGAAUGCCAACCCGAGAGAGAUUUUUCCAUUCAACUCCAACGGCAAUGGCGUUGCCCCCAUUUCCUCCGUCAAACGACUCCUUCAACUCCGUUUCCUCCAGCUCUGAGGACUGCCGUACAGAGCAUUGAUCAUGGUGGUUGGGAAGGCCGCAGCUCCUGCGAAGCCAGUGAGGACCCUGCAAAACAACUCAGCUCUGCUCACGGGUGCUUGUUGGGAGGCAAGGGCUCCCGAUCACCACAUGCUAUACAUUACACAAUUUUAUUAGAAUGAUGACGCGAACGACUUCUUGUUCAAGCAUUGGAGAACCGUGCAGCUCAGUCCAAGUGGUCGUGCGGUUGGUGACGCUGCAUCUUCAGCAUGUCACCCUGACAUGACCAUGGAAUCAGCCCAAGCUAUGGCUGCAAUUAGGGAUGACAUUGACAUUUCUAUGUGGCAGACGGGUGGUCAUUGAAUGGUAAAUUGCUCAUGAUGAUAUGUAUAUAAUAAAUAUUGUGAUUGUAAGGGUGUAGUUUGAUUAUUCAAACUUAUUACCAUUUCGCAAUUACAUUUCAAAUUUAUUGCAAUUUAUAUAAUAUUUCUCAUCCAAUUUUGAUGAUAUAUCACACUAAAAUUUUUAUUUU